rnacentral:rRNA from 1 species
GACGAACGCUGGCGGCGUGCUUAACACAUGCAAGUCGAACGGAAAGGCCCUGCUUUUGUGGGGUGCUCGAGUGGCGAACGGGUGAGUAACACGUGAGUAACCUGCCCUUGACUUUGGGAUAACUUCAGGAAACUGGGGCUAAUACCGGAUAGGAGCUCCUGCUGCAUGGUGGGGGUUGGAAAGUUUCGGCGGUUGGGUAUGGACUCGCGGCUUAUCAGCUUGUUGGUGGGGUAGUGGCUACCAAGGCUUUGACGGGUAGCCGGCCUGAGAGGGUGACCGGCCACAUUGGGACUGAGAUACGGCCCAGACUCCUACGGGAGGCAGCAGUGGGGAAUAUUGCACAAUGGGCGGAAGCCUGAUGCAGCAACGCCGCGUGCAGGAUGACGGCCUUCGGGUUGUAAACCGCUUUCGCCUGUGACGAAGCGUGAGUGACGGUAAUGGGUAAAGAAGCACCGGCUAACUACGUG